rnacentral:rRNA from 1 species
AGUACGGCCGCAAGGUUAAAACUCAAAUGAAUUGACGGGGGCCCGCACAAGCGGUGGAGCAUGUGGUUUAAUUCGAUGCAACGCGAAGAACCUUACCUACUCUUGACAUCCAGAGAACUUAGCAGAGAUGCUUUGGUGCCUUCGGGAACUCUGAGACAGGUGCUGCAUGGCUGUCGUCAGCUCGUGUUGUGAAAUGUUGGGUUAAGUCCCGCAACGAGCGCAACCCUUAUCCUUUGUUGCCAGCGGU